CCUGCCAUCACCACCCCUUAGAGAUCCAGCCCCCAACCCUCCCCCCAACGAAGGUCAAGUUCCCCCACCCUGCUUCUGGACACUUUGGAUCCCGGCCCCCUCUCCGGAAAAUAAGCCGUCUCUAGUAAUCGCAAUGAUAUGACCCCCAAUUCCCAUAAUCGUCUAAUUCCACCCCAAAUCCUUUCCAUUCAGCUCCCCUUGCAGCCUCAAAGGGUCGAGUUCCCAAAACCCGCGAGGGAUCCAAGAUGAACCUCUUCCCAUCCUUAUCCUCGUUAUCCGAGCGGCCUGGACCUUCAACUCCCAUGAAAUCUAGGCCCCUCUUAGACCUGAACCCUCAAACUCCACUGGGGCCAGCCCCCGACAAAUCCCGCAGGGGUAAAUCCCCCCUCCCCCCAUUGAGACCUGGUCUCCCAUACACCCUCAGACAAGGUCCAGUGUCCUCGAAUCCCCGGGCACAGUCCCUGGCAGCCCCUCGCAGCCGGGGUAGAGCCCUUCCCCCCUCCCUGCCAAGUUCCCCUGGCACCAUCCCCCAUACACGCAGGCCGGGGCCUUGAGGGGUUCAGCAGUACGAGAUCAGCACCCCCAACUGCCCUCUGGAAGAAAGUUCCCUCAAACCCCUGGGCUCCCGACUUCUCCCCAGAACCGCAGCCGCCGCGCGCAGACCCCCACCUCCUGGGCCGCUCCGAUGCCCCCUUCCCGGGGAAGCGGCCCUUGACUCUCAACGGCCACUUAAGAUGGCCAUCCUCAGCCGCCGCACCCCCCCUCGCCUUCCGCCCCGCCCGCCGCUCCGCCCCCGCGGCUCUCCGCGGAGCCGGGGGUAGCACCCGCGCCCCGCCUACCCCGGCCCCCUGAUCCUGGAGCCGCUGACCCGCCGAGUGACCUCGGGCCAGUCACGGCACCUCUCCGCGCCUCGCCUUCCCGCUCUGCAAAGUGGGGGCAAUGUUAUUUGGCCGACUCAAUGGGACUGCUUGUAAAGAUCUCGGCACGGGGCCUGGCAUCCAGUAGGCGCUCCAGAACAGCGGCUAUUUUUAUUAUUAAUUAAGGAGUAACGAAGGUGACAGCUGUGUAAACUGUAAAGCGCUGCGCCUGAACGAACGGGUAUUAUUAGCACCCGCCCCCGCCCCAGCUACUCCCUCCAAGACAACAAACUUGAGCCUUUGUGGGCGGGACGCCGAACCGGGAGCUCCCCUUAUCGGAAAAAAAGGAGACAUGGAGUCUCAAUAGAGUUGAAACCAACUGGCAUCCGCUUGUAUAGAGUGAGUGAAUGUGCAGCAAUCGUGCCCCUGGGUCACAGCCGUGAGAGCCCUUGUCCUCUACUCUGACGCUUCAUGGACUGGCACGUGAUGAAGAUCCUGGGAUGCGUCCACCUCUUGGUAUUAUGAAGAAUGCUAUUACGAACAUGGAUGCACAAAUAUCUUUUGAGGCCCUUGGUUUCAAUUCUUUCAUAUAUCCAGAUAUGGACGAGCUGGAUCAUAUGAUUCUGCCAUACUUGACAGGAGAACAGACUCAUGGGUCUGACAUCACCACCAUAGCUGACCCUUGGACAGUGCAACCCAUUGGAGCUCUGAGGCUUGAGGUUUCCAGAAAAAUUUCAGUCCUAAAACAGAAGACUUCUAUGGAGGGAGAAGCUAACCCACAGACGAGAAGCAGGAAUAUUUUUAAAGGAAUUAGUGAAAUUGAGAAGGCAAGAUGGUUGUGGCUAUUGUGUUGGUAUUUUUGGUAAUGUGCUUCAUGAUCUUUUUUUUCAUUAGUCAUAUGAUGUAGCCCUUUUUCUCUCCUGGCUCUGGUUUCUAACCCUCAAUUUAAUAGACCAUACUUGUGCCAACUGGAAUAAACCCUUUCUCUAAAAAAAACCCUUGGUCAAUGGGCCACACUCCUAAAUAUCUCUACUGGUACUGUCCAUACCACACCAAGCACAGAGUCCCUCCUUGAUUGCUGCAUUUUCCCAACCAGUCUCUCAAAGUUUUGUUGUUUUUGAUUUUAAAGAGCAGGUGGGGCUUCUGGGUGGCUCAGUCGGUUAAGCGUCUGACUUCGGCUCAGGUCAUGAUCUCACAGCUCAUGAA